AGUGAACGCUGGCGGUAGGCCUAACACAUGCAAGUCGAACGGCAGCACAGUAAGAGCUUGCUCUUACGGGUGGCGAGUGGCGGACGGGUGAGGAAUACAUCGGAAUCUACUUUUUCGUGGGGGCUAACGUAGGGAAACUUACGCUAAUACCGCAUACGACCUACGGGUGAAAGCAGGGGAUCUUCGGACCUUGCGCGAUUGAAUGAGCCGAUGUCGGAUUAGCUAGUUGGCGGGGUAAAGGCCCACCAAGGCGACGAUCCGUAGCUGGUCUGAGAGGAUGAUCAGCCACACUGGAACUGAGACACGGUCCAGACUCCUACGGGAGGCAGCAGUGGGGAAUAUUGGACAAUGGGCGAAAGCCUGAUCCAGCCAUACCACGUGGGUGAAGAAGGCCUUCGGGUUGUAAAGCCCUUUUGUUGGGAAAGAAAAGCAGCAGGUUAAUACCCCGCUGUUCUGACGGUACCAAAAGAAUAAGCACCGGCUAACUUCGUG
rnacentral:rRNA from 1 species